rnacentral:rRNA from 1 species
UACGUAGGGUGCAAGCGUUAAUCGGAAUUACUGGGCGUAAAGCGUGCGCAGGCGGUUAUGUAAGACAGGUGUGAAAUCCCCGGGCUAACCUGGGAACUGCAUUUGUGACUGCAUAGCUAGAGUACGGUAGAGGGGGAUGGAAUUCCGCGUGUAGCAGUGAAAUGCGUAGAUAUGCGGAGGAACACCGAUGGCGAAGGCAAUCCCCUGGACCUGUACUGACGCUCAUGCACGAAAGCGUGGGGAGCAAACGAGG